rnacentral:misc_RNA from 1 species
GAUGAAGAACGUAGCGAAAUGCGAUAAGUAGUGUGAAUUGCAGAAUUCAGUGAAUCAUCGAAUCUUUGAACGCACAUUGCGCCCUUUGGUAUUCCAAAGGGCAUGCCUGUUCGAGCGUCAUUUGUACCCUCAAGCUUUGCUUGGUGUUGGGCGUCUUGUCUCUAGCUUUGCUGGAGACUCGCCUUAAAGUAAUUGGCAGCCGGCCUACUGGUUUCGGAGCGCAGCACAAGUCGCACUCUCUAUCAGCAAAGGUCUAGCAUCCAUUAAGCCUUUUUUUCAACUUUUGACCUCGGAUCAGGCAGGGAUACCCGCUGAACUUAAGCAUAUCAAUAAGCGGAGGA